rnacentral:tRNA from 1 species
GGUGUUGUGCCGGAAUGAAUCGGAUUGCGAUGAUGAUGCAAAAUAUAAGGGUAUUGCCUUCUUCGCCU